rnacentral:tRNA from 1 species
GGGGAUAUAGCUCAGUUGGUAGAGUGCUUGCCUUGCAAGCACAAGGCCCUGGGUUCAAUUCCCAGUGCCA